UCCGAGUUGACCCCGGCAGUCUCCUAUGAGUCCCCACCAUGACGUGCUGGCAACAUAGGACGAGGGUUGCGCUCGUUGCGGGACUUAACCCAAUAUCUCACGACACGAGCUGACGACAGCCAUGCACCACCUGUACACCGACUAAAAGGGGCUACAUCUCUGCAGCUUUCCGGCAUAUGUCAAACCCAGGUAAGGUUCUUCGCGUUGCAUCGAAUUAAUCCGCAUGCUCCGCCGCUUGUGCGGGCCCCCGUCAAUUCCUUUGAGUUUUAGCCUUGCGGCCGUACUCCCCAGGCGGGGCACUUAAUGCGUUAGCUGCGGCACGGAGAACGUGGAAUGUCCCCCACACCUAGUGCCCACCGUUUACGGCGUGGACUAC
rnacentral:misc_RNA from 1 species